rnacentral:rRNA from 1 species
GAUCCUGGCUCGGGAUGAACGCUGGCGGCGCGCCUAACACAUGCAAGUCGAACGGCACCCACCCUCGGGUGGAAGCGAGUGGCGAACGGCUGAGUAACACGUGGAGAACCUGCCCCCUCCCCCGGGAUAGCCGCCCGAAAGGACGGGUAAUACCGGAUACCCCGGGGGUGCCGCAUGGCACCCCGGCUAAAGCCCCGACGGGAGGGGAUGGCUCCGCGGCCCAUCAGGUAGACGGCGGGGUGACGGCCCACCGUGCCGACAACGGGUAGCCGGGUUGAGAG